CAUUCCUCCUCAGUGGCUUUAAUAAAUUCAAUGUAGAGAAUGUAAUAAACCAAAUAUCUUCCAAAUUCCAAGCAAAUUAGAUACGAAGCUGCUAAAACUUCUGUCUAAGAAAAAUAAACCAUAAUGGCGCGCCGGUUGUCGAUGGUCAGAAAACAUAUUAUUUAUAUGAAAAUGCGGGAACAGGAGCGUUUGCAGGAAGAGCAGGAGAGAGCAGAGGCCUUAGCUCAAGAAAACAAUAGCGGUGCACCAGCCAACGAACCCACACCUUCUGCAUCAGAACCUGUUAAGAAGUCAUCUGUUUGUGGAUUUCUGAAAAAUCUGUUUUUUGGAAAUAAAAACUAAAGCGUCCGAUUUCCAAAAAAAAUAUGAAGAAAUGAGAUGUAAUAAAUCAAAAUUGAAAAGGUUCUACAGAGAGAAGUGACAAAAUGGAAUGAUGUAACUUGAAAUCCCUACAUCGAUCACUUGCAUGCGAUGACUACCUAUUCGUAUCUUAUUCGGAACUAAUAGGGCAUAGUAAAAAGUGAAUAAUUAUGAACACAAACAUCUGUUCAGAGUGCAAAUCAGAUCCGCUUUUUUUCAAUGGAAAAAUAGAUACCAUAUAAAUGUGGUUUGUUAAGAAUAUUACAACUUACAUGGAGUUAACGGACACUAUCUAUGCUAUUUUAAUGUGAAAAGUGAUGAGAUAUGAAUUGGUAAAGAUCCAUCAAUCUUUGUGACGACACUCUGAUGAACUAGAAAUAGAACCGACACAGAUGUAUUACUUAAACUGCAAUGGUUUUAGCCCAAUAUGGCCAACGUAAAACCGGAAAACGCUUUGCAAAACUGUUUUGAAGUUUGCAAGAUAUGAGUGUAUAAUGGACCUACCUAGCGCACCUGCUGGAGCAUUUUUUUAUUGUUUUGAUGAUUUUAUAAUGAAAAAGGAAUGUCUUCAAAUGCCACACUCUGUACUGAAGAAAUACGCAAAGGAAGAAAGUUAGUGAGGCAAAAUAUUAUGGAAUAUGACAUUUGAAUAUAUGUCCGCCGAUUACGGAUUAGACAUUCUUUAGUAUUAUGGAUUUUAUUUGUAUUAUGGAAUAUGACAGCUGAAUACAUGUCCGCCGAUUAUGGAUUAGACAUUCUUUAGUGUUAUGGAUUUUAUUUUUUACAAACGUUUUUGGGUAACUUUCGGACUCUAAAUUUUAGUUUUAAUAAAUUUUGAUUUG